rnacentral:rRNA from 1 species
GAUAAUGUUGUGACAAGUGUUCGAACAAGUGAUGUCGACACUGAUGACUUCCCGAUUAAGAUAGGACUGCAUCAGGGGUCAGCUUUGAGCCCUUAUCUUUUUGCAUUGGUGAUGGAUGAGGUCACAAGGGAUAUACAAGGAGAUAUCCCAUGGUGUAUGCUCUUUGCAGAUGAUGUGGUGCUAGUUGACGAUAGUCGGGCGGGGGUAAAUAGGAAGUUGGAGUUAUGGAGACAAACCUUGGAAUCGAAAGGGUUUAGGCUUAGUAGGACUAAAACAGAGUACAUGAUGUGCGGUUUCAGUACUACUAGGUGUGAGGAGGAGGAAGUUAGCCUUGAUGGUCAGGUGGUACCUCAGAAGGACACCUUUCGGUAUUUGGGGUCAAUGCUGUAG